AUUGAACGCUGGCGGCAUGCCUAACACAUGCAAGUCGAACGGCAGCACGGGAGCUUGCUCCUGGUGGCGAGUGGCGGACGGGUGAGUAAUGCAUAGGAAUCUGCCCAGUAGCGGGGGACAACUUGGGGAAACUCAAGCUAAUACCGCAUGCGCCCUACGGGGGAAAGCGGGGGACCUUCGGGCCGUCGCACUAUUGGAUGAGCCUAUGUCAGAUUAGCUUGUUGGUGGGGUAACGGGCCUACCAAGGCGACGAUCUGUAGCUGGUCUGAGAGGACGAUCAGCCACACUGGGACUGAGACACGGCCCAGACUCCUACGGGAGGCAGCAGUGGGGAAGUAUUGCACAAUAGGGCGGAAAGACCUGAUGCAGCAAUGCGCGUGUGUGAAGAAGGA
rnacentral:rRNA from 1 species